rnacentral:rRNA from 1 species
UGGGGAAUAUUUGACAAUGGGCGCAAGCCUGAUCCAGCCAUGCCGCGUGAGUGAAGAAGGCCCUAGGGUUGUAAAGCUCUUUCACCCGCGAAGAUGAUGACGGUAGCGGGAGAAGAAGCCCCGGCUAACUCCGUGCCAGCAGCCGCGGUAAUACGGAGGGGGUUAGCGUUGUUCGGAAUUACUGGGCGUAAAGCGCGCGUAGGCGGACUAUUAAGUCAGGGGUGAAAUCCCGGGGCUCAACCCCGGAACUGCCUUUGAUACUGGUAGUCUAGAGUUCGAGAGAGGUGAGUGGAAUUCCGAGUGUAGAGGUGAAAUUCGUAGAUAUUCGGAGGAACACCAGUGGCGAAGGCGGCUCACUGGCUCGAUACUGACGCUGAGGUGCGAAAGCGUGGGGAGCAAACAGGAUUAGAUACCCCGGUAGUCC